AGAGUUUGAUCCUGGCUCAGGACGAACGCUGGCGGCGUGCCUAAUACAUGCAAGUAGAACGCUGAAGAGAGGAGCUUGCUCUUCUUGGAUGAGUUGCGAACGGGUGAGUAACGCGUAGGUAACCUGCCUUGUAGCGGGGGAUAACUAUUGGAAACGAUAGCUAAUACCGCAUAACAAUGGAUGACACAUGUCAUUUAUUUGAAAGGGGCAAUUGCUCCACUACAAGAUGGACCUGCGUUGUAUUAGCUAGUAGGUGAGGUAAUGGCUCACCUAGGCGACGAUACAUAGCCGACCUGAGAGGGUGAUCGGCCACACUGGGACUGAGACACGGCCCAGACUCCUACGGGAGGCAGCAGUAGGGAAUCUUCGGCAAUGGGGGCAACCCUGACCGAGCAACGCCGCGUGAGUGAAGAAGGUUUUCGGAUCGUAAAGCUCUGUUGUAAGUCAAGAACGGGUGUGAGAGUGGAAAGUUCACACUGUGACGGUAGCUUUCCAGAAAGGGACGGCUAACUACGUGCCAGCAGCCGCGGUAAUACGUAGGUCCCGAGCGUUGUCCGGAUUUAUUGGGCGUAAAGCGAGCGCAGGCGGUUUGAUAAGUCUGAAGUUAAAGGCUGUGGCUCAACCAUAGUUCGCUUUGGAAACUGUCAAACUUGAGUGCAGAAGGGGAGAGUGGAAUUCCAUGUGUAGCGGUGAAAUGCGUAGAUAUAUGGAGGAACACCGGUGGCGAAAGCGGCUCUCUGGUCUGUAACUGACGCUGAGGCUCGAAAGCGUGGGGAGCGAACAGGAUUAGAUACCCUGGUAGUCCACGCCGUAAACGAUGAGUGCUAGGUGUUGGAUCCUUUCCGGGAUUCAGUGCCGCAGCUAACGCAUUAAGCACUCCGCCUGGGGAGUACGACCGCAAGGUUGAAACUCAAAGGAAUUGACGGGGGCCCGCACAAGCGGUGGAGCAUGUGGUUUAAUCCGAAGCAACGCGAAGAACCUUACCAGGUCUUGACAUCCCGAUGCUAUUUCUAGAGAUAGAAAGUUACUUCGGUACAUCGGUGACAGGUGGUGCAUGGUUGUCGUCAGCUCGUGUCGUGAGAUGUUGGGUUAAGUCCCGCAACGAGCGCAACCCCUAUUGUUAGUUGCCAUCAUUCAGUUGGGCACUCUAGCGAGACUGCCGGUAAUAAACCGGAGGAAGGUGGGGAUGACGUCAAAUCAUCAUGCCCCUUAUGACCUGGGCUACACACGUGCUACAAUGGUUGGUACAACGAGUUGCGAGUCGGUGACGGCGAGCUAAUCUCUUAAAGCCAAUCUCAGUUCGGAUUGUAGGCUGCAACUCGCCUACAUGAAGUCGGAAUCGCUAGUAAUCGCGGAUCAGCACGCCGCGGUGAAUACGUUCCCGGGCCUUGUACACACCGCCCGUCACACCACGAGAGUUUGUAACACCCGAAGUCGGUGAGGUAACCUUUUGGAGCCAGCCGCCUAAGGUGGGACAGAUGAUUGGGGUGAAGUCGUAACAAGGUA
rnacentral:rRNA from 1 species